UCGGUUUUGAAUCUCUUCUCUUAAUUUUUAUCUUUCAAAUUUCUUCGUCUCUUAUCCUUUUCUUCUUUAUUCUCUGUUGAUGUGAAUGAGUCGAGGACUGAAUUCAGAUUGAGUUGAAGGUGAGGUUUGGAACUGAUUCACUGAUCAAAUGUAGUUGAUGAUUGUGAUGGAUGAAGGUGAGGGAAUACGUGGGGGUGGAGCAAUGAUUGAUGAAGGUUGAAGAUUGAUUGAUAUCCGGGGUUGAGCUUGGAGCACUCGGGUUCAGUUGAGAGUGAUGAGUGGUGAUGAUUGUGAUUGAUGAUUGAGAAAGUUGAGUUGAGAGAGAGUGAAGAUUAUGAUGAAUUGAAGGGAGUAAUAAAGGUGAGAGUGAAUCCAAGAGAGCAUGAUUGGGAAAUGGUUGGAGCUUUACAAAAGUUGGAGUUGGUUGCAACUGAAUGGGGCAAGUUAGAUCAGCUCAGGCAGCUUAGGGAUUGCAUUGCAGGUCCUGUGCAACAGGUUUGGAACAUGUUCUUUAUUUGGUAGGUUGGCAGGUGGGAUGCUAGGAAAGUGUGGCCUAUGGAAAUUAUGCAUUGGCUUUGGCAUUGCCUUGUACAUGAUAGGUUUGAAUGAACUGAUGUGUUAUAUUGCAGCAGGUAUGAGUGCAUUGCUUUAUGGUUCAUGACAGUAGCAAGUCUGCAUUAUUUGGAAAGCCAAUUGCAAGUUUGGCAUUGCAUGGUUUUAUUUUGAUUCAAAUGAUACAGGUCCUGACUUGGAUAAUGGGAAUGGUUUUGGCUUGGUCCUAGCAUGCAUAGGCUCAAAGCAAAGUCCAAAUAUGGCUAAUGUACCAUUGUAUUCUGACUUGGUCAUGGACAAUGGUGGUUGAACACAAAAGGUCAAGUUUGAACUUGAAGCUUUCAUGUAAAGAUGGAAAACUAAUGGAUCAUGGUGGAACCUUGGAGAUUAAAAAUGGGAUUUAGGGCUUUAGGAUGAGAAUUUAGGGUUUUAGGGAUUUGGGUUGACUUUGGUCAAAGUUGACCAAAAAGUCAAAUGUUGACCAAAGUCAACAUUUGGUCAACAUUUCCAUUGCUUUGUAAUCUUUCAUGUUUUGGACAUCUUCAUGCUUGUAAUGAAUGGAAUUGACACAUAAUGGAUGAAAUAGAUUGGUUCUUGGAUUUAA